ACGGUGGUGCUGUCCUUGAAACAAAACUUUAUAACUGAUGACCUAUCCUCAGGAUAGGUCAUCAGUACCUCAUCUGUGGGGUUUGACACCCGGGUCCCCCGCCAAUCAGCUGUUUGAGAAGGCACCUGCGCUCCUGUGAGCGCUACACCCU